rnacentral:rRNA from 1 species
CGCGCAGGCGGUCGUUCAAGUCGCGUGUGAAAGCCCCCGGCUCAACUGGGGAGGGUCACGCGAUACUGAUCGACUCGAAGGCAGGAGAGGGUAGUGGAAUUCCCGGUGUAGUGGUGAAAUGCGUAGAUAUCGGGAGGAACACCAGUGGCGAAGGCGACUACCUGGCCUGUUCUUGACGCUGAGGCGCGAAGCUAGGGGAGCAAACG